CUCUUUUAAUCUACGAGUAACAGGUAUAAAAAGGAAUUAUUUUAGCUGAAUGCAACAUGUGAUGUGAUCUUCAUAAAAGCAACUUAUUGCCCGUGUUUCCAAAACUAUUGCACCCAAUUUGCUUCAAUUACCCGACCAAUUACCCAGACACCUCCGCACCGUAGCUGGUGACAGAAACCGCAUGCAAAUAUUGCAAGUUGUCACCGGGGCGAUGCCUCAAUUAGUGGCAACAUGUUGCUGGUGCAACACGACCGCAGGAACACCUCGUCGCCGACUUUUGCAGCCAGUCGUUAAAGCGAGUGGAAAUCACCCGGAGAGUCAGGUGGCCAUCCGUGGGAUCAGCUUGGACGCCACGGAGUGCUGUGCAGCGGAGGUGGUAAAUGAGGAGCGAUUGUUGUCCGUGGGCGGCUUACACCGAAAUCGCAUUAAGUGGCGCGUUGGCAGCGCGAUUUGUCUGAUUUGCAUACAAUAUUAUAGCGAAUAAAUCAUAAUCCGCCGCUUGGCCAUCACAAUAUUUACACAUGCAAUUUGCAUCCGAGUUGCUCCGCAUCUGACAGCAUGUGGCUAACGAGCUGAGCGAAAGGCCAGGAAUCGGCAUCCGGGGCAGCAUCAAUUAAAGCGACAUUAAGGAAACUUCACAGCUCAUGCAUUUAGCAGCGUUUAUAGAAAUUGCCAGCCCACAAACUCCCCCUUUCCUUGUUUAUAGCUGCGAUGCACUCGAAGAAACUCUGGCGCACUUAUUAACCCAUCUGCAUUUUUAAAAUAUGUUUUUGUGUAAAUAAAUUACUUCCCCGAUAAAUGUCUUAAAA